GGUUUGGACUUGCUGCUGCAGCUGCGGUUCUGCUGUGUCAUGCAAGAAGGAGGCGGCGGCGGCGGCCGGAGCUGGAGGGGGAGGAGGGGAGGAACCUGAUCCUCGGUAGCGAAGGGCUGGAGGCAAACACCGAGCUCCCCCUGAGCCGCCUGGGAGCAGGGAGGGUUCUGCUACCCUGAGGGGCCCUCCCCGCGGGGCAGAGGGUGGGAGGAAGUCACAGCAUCUACUUCUGAAUCUGUGCUUGCCUUGAGGAAAAACGGCAUGGCACAGGAAUGUGGACGCUUUCAACCAGAGGAUUCUGUACGACGGUGUCGGCACACAAGGAGUGUUCCACUGACUGACCUCUUUUUGUUUUCAAAUGAAGAGGAGCCAAGAAUAGGACAGCUUGGGAAGCUCAUCCUCGUCUACGGCCAAACGUUGGUUUCUCAUUUCUAGAAGAUGAAAGAUGUGAUGACUCAGGAAAAACUGGAAUCUUAGUAACUGUGGUGGGCAUUGAGCCUUGCCGUCCACAAGAGAAAGCUUGCUGCUCGAGAUGUGAGUCUUCAGAUGUUCCUGCCGCCAUAUCUGACAGCUGCUGCCAAGAUUCCCUGGUGGGAUGGACUCUUAUACCUCAACAACCAGAAGCCCAAGUAAACUCUUCUAUAAAUUGAAUGACUCAUGCUUAAAAAAAAAAACAAAAAACAAACUAUCUUUA
rnacentral:lncRNA from 1 species